UACGUAGGGUCCGAGCGUUGUCCGGAAUUACUGGGCGUAAAGAGCUCGUAGGUGGUUUGUCGCGUUGUUCGUGAAAACUCACAACUCAAUUGUGGGCGUGCGGCGAUACGGGCAGACUUGAGUACUGCAGGGGAGACUGGAAUUCCUGGUGUAGCGGUGGAAUGCGCAGAUAUCAAGAGGAACACCUGAGGUGAAGACGGGUGCUGGCUGACACUGACGCUGAGGCGCGAAGCUAGGGGGAGCAAACGGG
rnacentral:rRNA from 1 species